GAUCGCUUAGUUGCUUUUGUGACCGAUUAUUCUCGAAGACAUGGGAUUCAUCAAGGUGACAAGCCUAUUAUGCCUACUACUUCUCACACCACUUCUUUUAGUUCCUGGCUCGGAAGCUAAGACCUGCACUUCAUAUAGUAGGACCUAUAUGUCUUUAUUAUGCAAGAAGGAUUCAUGUGUUGAGGCCUGCCAUAAGGAGGGAUUUACGAACGGGUUCUGUUUCGUAUUCCCAGAACCCAUUAUGUUAAUUUGUUUCUGCGAAAAGAUUGUUGAAUAAAAAGAAUGUUGCAACUAUCAUAGGAUGCGGGCUAUAAGAAAUAAAAAGGUUGUGUAGUAUGAUGAAUUGACAAUGUGCCAUGGAAGAAGUUGAGAAUCCACU